CGCCAAUCUACCCAAAACUGGUGAAUAGCCCUCCGAAAGGAGGAUUAAUACACCGUAACCUAUUGAAGUGGCAUCACUUUAUUAGUAUAGCUCCGGCGGUUUUGGAUGAGCGUGCGGCUGAUUAGAUAGUUGGCGGGGUAACGGCCCACCAAGUCUGCGAUCAGUAACUGGUGUGAGAGCACGACCAGUCACACGGGCACUGAGACACGGGCCCGACUCCUACGGGAGGCAGCAGUGGGGAAUUGUUCGCAAUGGGCGCAAGCCUGACGACGCAACGCCGCGUGGAGGAUGAAGAUCUUCGGGUCGUAAACUCCUGUCGAGCGGGACGAACAUCUUCCGGGGGAAUAUCCCGGAGGGCUGACGGUACCGCUAAAGGAAGCCCCGGCUAACUCCGUGCCAGCAGCCGCGGUAAUACGGGGGGGGCAAGCGUUGUUCGGAAUUACUGGGCGUAAAGGGCUCGUAGGCGGCGCGCUAAGUCAGACGUGAAAUCCCUCGGCUCAACCGAGGAACUGCGUCUGAGACUGGCGGGCUUGAAUCCGGGAGAGGGAUGCAGAAUUCCAGGUGUAGCGGUGAAAUGCGUAGAUAUCUGGAGGAAUACCGGUGGCGAAGGCGGCAUCCUGGACCGGCAUUGACGCUGAGGAGCGAAAGCCAGGGGAGCAAACGGGAUUAGAUACCCCGGUAGUCCUGGCCCUAAACGAUGAAUGCUGGGUGUAACGGGUAUCGAUCCCUGUUGUGCCGAAGCUAACGCAUUAAGCAUC
rnacentral:rRNA from 1 species